rnacentral:misc_RNA from 1 species
CUUAAACUCAGCGGGUAGUCCCGCCUGACCUGGGGUCACAUUCGGAGCGCGCGCACAACGUGUGGCGCCUAAGGAUCCUGGAGCUCGCUAUGGUGACAGGGAUUCACGCGACAACAAAAGAAGGUCUUUUUACAACCACCGAUGUCGCGAUGUCCGUCGCCGGAGACUCAAUUUUGGGCCAACCGCACCAAAUGGCACGGGAGGCCAAUUUCCGCCCCCAAAACAAAACAUUUCCAUAAGGAGUGACUGUUUGGGGGCAACACGAUGCGUGACACCCAGGCAGACGUGCCCUCAGCCUAAUGGCUUCGGGCGCAACUUGCGUUCAAAGACUCGAUGGUUCACGGGAUUCUGCAAUUCACACCAAGUAUCGCAUUUCGCUACGUUCUUCAUCGAUGCGAGAGCCGAGAUAUCCGUUGUCGAGAGUCGUUUGUGUUUUAGAAUGACGCCACUACCCGGCUAACGGGAAGCGAUCAUCAAUUCAGUUUUGAUUUCCUUGGCGCAUGCCGCGCCCGGAUGAUUUCGUAGGCCGAUGGCCACCGAAGGGCGACCACCUACCAAGGGUUCACUAACAGGGAACGAAAUCCCCGUGAGCUUGCCCGAUGUUUUUACGAGUUAGCGGGUCUUUCUGCUAUCGCAGGAUCGACAAUGAUCCUUCCGCAGGUUCACCUAC